AGUGAACGCUGGCGGUAGGCCUAACACAUGCAAGUCGAACGGCAGCACAGUAAGAGCUUGCUCUUACGGGUGGCGAGUGGCGGACGGGUGAGGAAUACAUCGGAAUCUACUUUUUCGUGGGGGAUAACGUAGGGAAACUUACGCUAAUACCGCAUACGACCUACGGGUGAAAGCAGGGGAUCUUCGGACCUUGCGCGAUUGAAUGAGCCGAUGUCGGAUUAGCUAGUUGGCGGGGUAAAGGCCCACCAAGGCGACGAUCCGUAGCUGGUCUGAGAGGAUGAUCAGCCACACUGGAACUGAGACACGGUCCAGACUCCUACGGGAGGCAGCAGUGGGGAAUAUUGGACAAUGGACGCAAGCCUGAUCCAGCCAUACCGCGUGGGUGAAGAAGGCCUUCGGGUUGUAAAGCCCUUUUGUUGGGAAGGAAAAGCAGCAGGUUAAUACCCCGCUGUUCUGACGGUACCCAAAGAAUAAGCACCGGCUAACUUCGUG
rnacentral:rRNA from 1 species